rnacentral:sRNA from 2 species
AAUUCUAUCUUUGUCACGCUUAAGAAUGGAAUCAGGUGAGAAUCCUGAGCUGUCGCGCAACUGUAUUGAGAAAUUCUCUGAGUCAGGUCUUUUUUUAAGCAUAAAAAUGCUUUCGCGAUCGAAGCUGAAAACUUCUUUUAGGAAGCAUG